rnacentral:rRNA from 1 species
GACGAACGCUGGCGGCGUGCUUAAUACAUGCAAGUCGACUGAACUUAAGGUAGCAAUAUUUUAAGGGAGGUGGCGCACGGGUGAGUAACACGUAGGUAAUCUGCCUUUAGGACUGACAUAACUCCGCGAAAGCGGAGCUAAUUUCAGAUGAUGCAGCGGCUCGACAUCGAGACAGUUGUUAAACCUUCGGGGCCUAAAGAUGAGCCUGCGUCUGAUUAGGUAGUUGGCGGAGUAAUAGCCCACCAAGCCAUCGAUCAGUAGCUGGUCUGAGAGGAUGAUCAGCCACACUGGAACUGAGACACGGUCCAGACUCCUACGGGAGGCAGCAGUGGGGAAUAUUGGACAAUGGGCGCAAGCCUGAUCCAGCCAUGCCGCGUGAGUGAUGAAGGUCUUCGGAUUGUAAAACUCUUUCGCCGGGGAAGAUAAUGACGGUACCCGGAGAAGAAGCUCCGGCUAACUUCGUGCCAGCAGCCGCGGU